rnacentral:precursor_RNA from 12 species
AAUCUUGUGAUGCUGAUGUCUGUCAUACUUUAGCAGCACGUAAAUAUUGGUGUUAAGACUGUAAAUAUCUCCAGUAUUAACUGUGCUGCUGAAGUAAGGCUAGCCACUUCUGCACGCGAGUCG